GACGAACGCUGGCGGCGUGCUUAACACAUGCAAGUCGAACGAGCGGCGCACGGGUGAGUAAUACAUCGGAACGUGUCCUAUCGUGGGGGAUAACUGAUCGAAAGAUUAGCUAAUACCGCAUACGAUCGGAUCGGCCGAUGUGCGAUUAGCUAGUUGGUGGGGUAAAGGCUCACCAAGGCGACGAUCGGUAGCUGGUCUGAGAGGACGACCAGCCACACUGGAACUGAGACACGGCCCAGACUCCUACGGGAGGCAGCAGUGGGGAAUUUUGGACAAUGGGGGCAAGCCUGAUCCAGCCAUGCCGCGUGCAGGAAGAAGGUCUUCGGAUUGUAAACUGCUUUUGUCAGGGAAGCGGUACCUGAAGAAGAAGCACCGGCUAACUCCGUGCCAGCAGCCGCGGUAAUAC
rnacentral:rRNA from 1 species